AGGUUUCCGGUAGGUGAACCUGCGGCAGGAUCAUUA
rnacentral:rRNA from 1 species